GGUGCCCACCUCUCUUUCUCUCUCGCCUCCCACCCUCACCCUCCCGAUCUGGUCGCCGCCCACCCUCACCCUCCCGAUCUCGUGAGCUGCAGGGGAAAUCGGUCUCCAGAAUCGCCACCACCGAUGCCGCUCGGUUCCCCUCCGCAACCUGCCACUUGCGACGGACCGAGGUCGCCGAUGUGGGCUCGACGCAGCCGCCCGGAGCUACUCCGCCCUCGACAUCGAGGAGGGCGUGGUCCUAAUCGAGCUCUCGGCCGCCCUGCUCCUCUACAGACUAUCUCUAUCCUCAGUCGUAGGCUCCUCGUGCUUUCUCCCCUGCGCCGCCACCCAAUGGUCUCCGCCAGCGCCGCGUGCCCCCAAGAAAAUGGCGGCCUUGGAUGAAAACGUGCGGCUCAAUCGACCUUGAGAAGAUCCCCAUCAACGCGGACUCCCCUAUGGAAACCAACAACGAGAAGAAGCGGCUCGCCGAGAUAUGCCAUGUCGACUUCUCCUUUUGUCAUCAAUGGAGGCGCCACGAAGGCCAAGAAGAAGGCCCCAACAGCCCUAGCCAUGGCAGGGCCUCAUGUAGAGCCUGAAGACCAAACCAAUGAUCAAUGUGUGCUGAGAAUGACAGCAGUAUGCACCACAUUUGCAGUCUUAACUACAUGGAUUUUUGAAUAAGAUGGGGCGACCAUGAUGUGGCUCGGAGAAAGGGUGCAUAUGGGAUUACUUAUUACCCAUUGGGUCUGCAAAUAUGAGAGGUAAAAAAUUUCACUGUAGUGCAAGGCACGUUCUAAGUUUCAUCUUCGCACAUGAUUAUGGACUUAUGGCAUCUGAUCAGCUUUCUCUUGACAUGCGUAAUUCCAACACCGUCCCGAUCUUUCCAAAAAUAGAUUGUCUAUGAUUAUGAGAGUAACCACAAGAACAGACGAAAGUGGCGAGACUCGUUACGAAACAAUGCAGAUUCUUUACCCCUAGGACAGUGACAGUGCUAACAUUCAUGUAUGUAUGUUAGGAGUUACGAUAUGACCUUUUGUUUAUGUAUGUUAACAUUCAAAAAUGUUUGAUGAGAUCAAUAAUGUAUAUAUGAGAUGUGAUAAAACUGAACAUAUGUUGUAC